rnacentral:lncRNA from 1 species
GGCAUGACUAGAAAAUCAACCAAGUGAUAAUUUGAGUUUGGAUUUUGUUACAAGCAGACUCAUUGAUUGUGAAUCUCUUAUGUUUGAUUAUAAAAGUGAAAAUAAGUAUUCUAAACCAAAUACGGACAACUCUGUUUUUAUUAGUGCUCGUAAAGAAUUGUUUUGUACUUAUUGUAAAAGAAAAGGACAUUCUGUUAAAUUUUGUAGAAAAAAGAACUGCAUCUGUCAUAACUGUGGGAAAACUGGUCAUUUCAAAAGUGAAUGUUUUGAUAAUUCUAAAAAGCAGACAAAUUCAAAUAGUAAUAAGUAUGCAUCCCCUGCAAUAUCUUUUAUGGCUGGAAAUCUUGUGCAUGAUCAAUUUAUUAUUGAUUCUGGUGCAACUUUUCAUGUCUUCUCACAAGGAAUGGUUUACCUCAAUUAAGCCUAAGACUGGAACUGUUAAGUGUGCGUCCAAGUCGGAGGUUUUAGAAGUGGAAGGAAUUGGUGAUAUUUGCGGUAAAACUAAGAAUGGUGUUGAAAUAAUGUUAAAAGAUGUUCUUUACAUUCCAAAAUUAAACGGACAAACAAUUUCUGUCAAAAAUAUUGAAGCAGCAGGUUUGAGCAUAAUUUUUAAAAAUGAAAUAGUUUACAUUGAAACAAAAACAAGCGUUUUCGAUUUGGAUAUUUGGACAAAUGCGCACAAUAUUUUAGUGAUUUUUCACCAAACCUAUUUACAGCUUUAGCAGUAAAGAAUGAUGAUUUAUGGCACAGAAGAUUAGGACACUGCUGUGAUCAAAAAUUAAAACUAAUGAAUCUUCCUGCAAAAGAAUCCUUUUGUGAAGUAUGUGUUCGUGCCAAACAAAGUGCUUUGCCUAUAGGAAAGGGUCCUCGCAUAAAAGAAUCCAAACCGCUUAUAACUAUACACACUGACAUAUGUAGUCCAAUAGAACCUCAAACACUCCAUGGAAAAAGGUAUUUCAUGACUAUAAUUGAUGACUACUCGUGAUUUAUGGAAAUAAGACUGCUCAAAAGAAAAAGUGAUAUUGUUGAUGAACUUAAACUAUUCUUUAAAUUGAAUCCAACUGUUACAAAACUACGCUGUGACAAUGCCAAAGAAUAUGUCAGUGGAGAAUUGCAUGAUGUUGCUAAAAGAGCAGGUGUAAAAAUAGAUCCUGCACCUCCCUAUACACCUUUUCUAAGUGGUGUUGCUGAACGAGCAAAUAGAACUAUACUGGAAAAAGAGCAAUGAUACUUGAGACACUGACAACAGCGAAUUAAAUGCAAAUAAGAAGGAAGAACGAAGGAAAUCUUCAAGACAGAAGAAACAGCCAGUUAGGUAUCCUAAUCCUGAGUUUUACCAAGUAAUGUUUGCACAACAAGACACUGUGACAUUUGAAGAUAUUGUAAAUCUACUACAAGUAGAACAAGAACUAUGGAAAAGAGCUAUGGACGAGGAAAUGAAAUCUAUGGAAGAUCAUGACAUCUAGGACCUACGAAGUUUACCCCCUGAUAAAAGAUCCAUUUCCUGCUAAUGGGUUCUACGUAAAAAACAAAAUGGAACUUACAAAGCCAGGCUUGUUGCUCGUGCGGUUAUGCAAAAGGAAGGCAUAGAUUAUACAGACAUGUUUUCCCCAGUGAUUAGUAUGUGCUCUUUAUGUUUAAUCCUGGUAAUUAUUAAUAAUGAAGGUUUGCAAACUUUUACUUUAGAUGUGAAGACAGCUUUCUUGAACAGUAAGUUAGAUGAAAUUAUCUACAUGGACCAGCCAAAAGGAUAUGAUGAUACGAGUGGUAAGAAAUGUAAACUUAAAAAGUUUAUAUGGUCUUAAACAGUCUCCUCGACAAAGGUAUCAGAAAUUUCUUAAUUUUGUUAUUAAAUUAAAUUUUAAGCAA